AAGAUGUUAUGAAAUGAAAUUCUAGAAAUUGAUGGUGUAAAACUAAACAUGGGUUGUCAAUUUUGAUUUUUUUUUUGUAGAUGGAUAGCAUGACGAUUGAUGAUUCUGAGUUUGAGCUCUGUAGCGUAACGGCUUUAUCACCCUUGGAUGGUCGAUAUUGGAAAAAGGUUAAAGAUUUGGCUCCGUUUAUGAGUGAAUACGGUCUUAUUCAUUUCCGUGUUAUAGUGGAGGUCAAAUGGCUGAUAAAGCUUUCACAAAUUCCGGAAAUAACAGAGGUCCCCAGUUUCGGCAAGGAUGCCCUGUCUUUCCUGGAAGGAGUUAUUGAUGGGUUUGGUGUGAGUGAUGCUUUGGAGGUGAAAAAGAUUGAGAGAGUUACGAAUCACGACGUGAAAGCAGUAGAAUACUUUCUGAAACAAAAAUGUCAAUCCCAUCCGGAGAUUGCAAAGGUACUUGAGUUUUUCCAUUUUGCUUGUACAUCAGAGGAUAUCAAUAAUUUGGCUCACGCGUUGAUGCUAAAAGGGGCCUUAAAUACAGUGAUAUUACCUGUCAUGGAUGAUUUGAUUAGAGCUUUAUGUAAGAUGGCAAAAGACAAUGCUCAUGUUCCUAUGCUCUCUCGCACUCAUGGACAGCCAGCUACACCAACUACUCUGGGAAAAGAAAUGGCAAUUUUUGCUGCUAGAUUAAGCAAACAAAGACUUGAUCUAUCUAAAGUUGCUAUACUGGGCAAGUUUGCUGGUGCUUCUGGAAAUUACAAUGCGCAUCUUGUCGCAUACCCCGAGCUAAGCUGGCCUCGAGUUGCCGAGGAGUUUGUAGAAUCUCUAGGAUUAAGUUUCAACCCCUAUGUGACUCAGAUUGAGCCUCAUGAUUAUAUGGCAGAACUGUUCAAUGCAAUUAAACAGUUUAAUGUUAUAUUGAUGGACUUUGACAAGGAUGUAUGGGGCUACGUGUCUUUAGGAUUCUUUAAGCAGAUUACAAAGGCUGGUGAGGUUGGAUCUUCUACCAUGCCUCAUAAGGUGAAUCCCAUAGAUUUUGAAAACAGUGAGGGUAAUCUUGGGUUGGCCAAUGAUGGACUAUCUCACCUGAGCACAAAGUUGCCUAUCUCGCGCUGGCAGCGUGACCUUACUGAUUCAACUGUUCUAAGGAAUAUGGGUGUGGGAUUAGGGCAUUCUCUUCUUGCUUACAGAAGUGCCCUCCAGGGCAUUGGAAAGCUUCAAGUAAAUGAAGCUCGCCUAAGUGAAGAUUUGGAUCUAUGCUGGGAAGUUCUUGCUGAGCCCAUACAGACUGUGAUGCGAAGAAAUGGUGUUCCCGAACCCUACGAGAAGCUGAAGGAACUAACCAGAGGGAAAGGAAUCUCUAAAGAUAGCAUCAGAGAAUUCAUUUUAGGUUUAGAGAUCCCUGCGGAUGCAAAAGCUAAUCUUUUGGAACUUACACCCCACACCUACAUCAGCGAAGCAGCCAGUUUAGCUAAUGAUGUUGAUAAGUUUGUUGAUCUAGUGAAUGGUGUUCAUGCCUUAUAAUAGGAGGAACCCAUGACCCAUCCAAUUUGUGUGUAUUUCCAGAAAUUCCGCAAUUCAACCUCGCGAUAAACCUAAGUAAACAAACAUGAGCAGCUGAUUAAUUCCUGGCAUGCUCCUGUGUUUUAUGAUUUUUGAAAUGAGUUUUUACUCUUUGUACACUUCAUUGAAGAUACAGUUUUCCCCUAAUCCAGUUAUCUUCACGUGCAAAAUCUCUGCUAGCUGUUGUUAUUUUCUUCUGUUUCGUCUUGUUAAUGAUUGUAAUGAAAUGAGAUGGGUGUUUUUAGAUUGAAUGCUAGGUCUUUAGAGUGCAUAUUGCUUAGUGGGUUAAUGCACUUAUGUUAACGGUAAGAAAAGGCGGCGUGAGUUUAUCAUCGCACUAUGACUUCUGAAGUUUUAGUACUGAUUGAAGCGGCUGCGAAUAAAUGCAUGAUUGUAUAUUCGGGUGAUGUAUUUUACAGGCGAAACUCCCCUGUGCGAAGCGGCUAUUGAAGGACGUGUGAGCGCUGUAGCAUAUCUCCUGAGAAUGGGAAUAUGCAUCCUUUGCAUCUUGCCACUAUGAAAGGACAUAAAGAUGUCGUAAUCUUGUUACUAUCAAAAGGCAUUCAUGUAGAUGUUUCAAAUGAUUUUGGCUCACCCCUUCAAUUUGCUUGCUAUUAUGGGCAUGACGAUAUAGUUAAGCUUCUUUUGCAUCGAAAUGCCAAUCCCAUUUGCUAUUCAACGAGGCGACUACUUCUCUUCAGGCAGCCAUCCAUUCCAAAUCUUGGCAAUGUGUGGAGUAUCUACUCAAGGCAGGUGUUGAUCCAAAUGGUGGACCAGAUGGAGUAAAAGCUCUACCAUUUGCAGCUGAAGUGGGGGUAUUACAAAUCAUCAAGCUGCUAGUUGAAGCCGGUGCAGAUCCAAAUGUUACGGAUAUUCAUGGACUAAAGCCAGUAGAAACAGCAGCUUUCCAUGGUAAUCGUUGAGGUGUUGAGAUUCUCUUUCCUGUGACAUCUCCUAUUCCAUCGUAUACGGACUGGAGCAUUGAUGGAGUAAUGAGGCAUGCAGAUUCUGGGAUGUCCACAUUAACGGGAAUGGAUGGAUUAGUUCAAACUGGGCAAAAAGAAAAAAAUGGAAGAGAAGGGUAUUUUAGGGAUUUAAAAAAUGGCUCCAACUAGGAAAUUAAAAUUAGUUUCAUCAGUGAAAA